rnacentral:rRNA from 1 species
UACGGGGGGGGCAAGCGUUGUUCGGAAUUACUGGGCGUAAAGGGCUCGUAGGUGGCCAACUAAGUCAGACGUGAAAUCCCUCAGCUUAACUGGGGAACUGCGUCUGAUACUGGAUGGCUUGAGUUUGGGAGAGGGAUGCGGAAUUCCACGUGUAGCAGUGAAAUGCGUAGAGAUGUGGAGGAACACCGAUGGCGAAGGCAGCCCCCUGGGCUAACACUGACGCUCAUGCACGAAAGCGUGGGGAGCAAACAGG